UUGGAGGGCAAGUCUGGUGCCAGCAGCCGCGGUAAUUCCAGCUCCAAUAGCGUAUAUUAAAGUUGCUGCAGUUAAAAAGCUCGUAGUUGAAUUUCGGGACUAUCAUGUCGGUCGUGCCUCGGUACGUACUGGUAUUGUUGGUUUCUCCCUUCUGACGAACCAUGAUGUCAUUUAUUUGGUGUUGUGGGAAAUCAGGACUGUUACUUUGAAAAAAUUAGAGUGUUUAAAGCAGGCUCACGCUUGAAUACAUUAGCAUGGAAUAAUGAAAUAGGACGUUCGAUUCUAUUUUGUUGGUUUCUAGGAUCGACGUAAUGAUUAAUAGGGAUAGUUGGGGGCAUUAGUAUUCAAUUGUCAGAGGUGAAAUUCUUGGAUUUAUUGAAGACUAACUACUGCGAAAGCAUUUGCCAAGGAUGUUUUCAUUAAUCAAGAACGAAAGUUAGGGGAUCGAAGACGAUCAGAUACCGUCGUAGUCUUAACCAUAAACUAUGCCGACUAGGGAUCAGAUGAUGUUAUUUUUAAUGACUCAUUCGGCGCCUUACGGGAAACCAAAGUGUUUGGGUUC
rnacentral:rRNA from 1 species